UGUUUGCUCAUUAGCGAGAAAUUGGACACUAAUGGAAUAAUUUUGUUCUUUUCACCCUCUUUAGGGUCCCUUGGAGUCCCGGGGAGGAGAAAAGUCUUCAGAGCCCUUCUUAAGAAGGACCUCGAGUAUCCUCUGUCCCUCAGGGCCCUGAACAGAAUUUUGGUUGCUUCCAUAAAACAGGAAUGUUCUGUGCAUAUCCUGUGAAAUCUGAGUAAUUGAGAUUUCACUAUACCUUUAAAUGUAUGUUUAGGAUGGAAGCUGUGUUUGUGCAGUAAGGAAUGCGUGUCCGUUUCUUUGAAAUACACUCUAAAGUCUAGCUGUCCUGUCUCUUCAAAUUUCUGUCCCUUAUAUGACACCACAUCUAGAAAGUUGACCUCUGUGGGGUCAAUUGUAUAUUUAAUUGUAAUCGAUCUCUGAUGGGUAUUCAAGUGUUCUGCAAAGUCCCUAAAAUCAUCCAUGGAGUAAGACCACACUCCCCAUAUGUCAUCCAGAAAUCUAAAGUAAUGCAGAGGCCUUUUUGUGCACGAACCCAGAGCCGAUUGUUCCCAUCUCGCCAUGAAGAUGUUGGCGUAGGAAGGGGCAAACUUUUUGCCCAUGGCUGUGCCUUUAACUUGCAAAUAAUAUUUAGAAUUAAAUUCAAAGUCAUUUUUAGUUAAGUUUAUAUCUAAUAAUUUUAAAAUAUAAUCAUCAGGCCUUUUUGGGUCUGGAUAUUGAAGCAUGCACUCCUGGACCGCCUGGAGGCCCGCUUCAGUUUCUAUGUUCGUAUAUAAGCUGUCAAUAUCUAUGGUGAACAAAAAGGCUCCUCUGGGAAUACUGAUGUCUUUAACUUUCUGGAUGAAGUCAUAAGUGUCCUUCAGAUAGCUCGGGUGUUUCUGAGAGAUGGGGUUGAGAUAAUACUCGAUGUACUCAGCUGUCUGAUAAGUUUCACUGUUGCAAUCAGACACUAUGGGUCUGCCGGGUGGAAUCUCGUGUGGAAUACUCCAUUUUUCAGGCUCCUUGUGAAUCUUAGGCAAUAAAUAAAAUCUUCUCAUUCGAGGAGUGCCACUGCCGCUUAAAUAAUCCCUCUGUUUUGAGUUAAUGAUACCCUUGUCAUACAUCUGUUCUAAGAUUUUUCUAACCUGUUUCAUGGUUUCAAAAUAAAUGGGUUCUUCUAAGGGUUUGUAGUGGUCACUGAUGUUUAAUUGUCUCUCUCCCUCCCAGACAUAUUGCUCUCUAUCCAUGAUGACAAUGGCAUUUCCCUUGUCAGCAGGUUUAAUGACAAUUUCUCUGAGGUUUUUUAGUGUGUUCAAGGCCCUCAGUUCCUCCCUCUGGAGGUUGGGCCUUGGUUUCAAGCUCCAAUUCAAGUUCUUAUAAGCAUACUCAUCAGCUGUGAUCAGCUGGCCUACUUGUUUGGGAAGUCUGCUCAAGGCCGGAGUCCAAUCUGAAUUGUGUGUGAAAGACGGAAUAAAUGUGAGGCCUUUCAUGAGCAGGGAUGACUGUGAGGGAGAGAGAGUAAAGUGUUUGGAAAGAUUCACAACAAGCCUGUGUGCACCCUUUCUCGGGUGUUCACUCACUACAAGUUUAAAUAUCGUGCCCAGUGUUCCAACAUGUUCCUGGCUGUCUCUGCAGUCCAGUGCAGGCCGUCACUCUCUACCUGAAACUGAUCCUCUGGCAGGAGGGGGAUGAAGGAAUAAUUUUCCUCUAUGUAAUUGUUUAAUUCAUCUAAAAAUAUUUUUUCUCCUUCUGGGAGAGAUUGGGGGAUAUUGAUCAGGGGGAUCCACAGUUGGGCCUCUGGCAGUCUCUCUUGUGCCACCUGACUCAAUCUGGCACACUCUCUCAUCGCUGAGAUGCGUAAUCUUUGUGUGCGGUUAUUCAGGCCGAAUGCCAAGACUAUUUUUUCUACUUGUGUGUCUACUGUGGCUUUUUCUAUCAGAUUGGCAGCGUGCUGCAAUUUAGCCCCUGGAAAACUGUCAAUCUGUAAAUCAGGAAUGUCAAAAGCGGGAAUCCUGCCCAAAUUGGAGUCCCCGAUGACCACGUGUUUCUCUUUGAGUGCCAGUUUCCACUCAUUGAACUUUUUGUUAGUUCUAAGAGAUAAUGUUUUCCAUUUUUUUGGAAGUUUCCCCCCUCUCUGUCUCCUGAGGAGCCCCUGGUUGAAGAGAUGUCACAGAAUAUUCUGAAAAAUCAAAGUCUGAGAGAUUGGGUGACCCUGACGGAUUUUGGAAGAUCUGGGCACUCUCAGCUGUGUCCCUUAGAGGAUUUACUCUAUGUACUGCAUUGGCUACAAUGGGGACCAGAGAAGGCAGGCCUGUGGUUAUCGGGGCCUCAGCCUCAGAGGGGGCAAAAGGAGAGAAAAGUUCCUGUGACAGCUGACCCGUAAACUCAUCUAAAUCAUCCAGUCUGUCACCCUGUGCAGGAGUUAACUGAUCCUCCUCCUCAUCAUCAUCAUCAAAACUCACUAAGAGAUUUUUCUCAGCUUGUUCUGUAACGACUGGUGGAGUUUUUGGUCUCUGUUCGGUCAGGUGUUUUUUCUUUUCUGGUCUUUUCCCCUUAGGAGACUGUAUAGGGGCCUGUAUAGGGGCCUGUAUAGGGGCCUGUACAGGAGGGUUCAGAGGUGGAAAAUCAUCUCCCAGAAGCCAGUCGUUCCUCAUAGGAGACCAGCCUGACAUUAAAGUGGGCGAUGUUUGUAUCUGGAUGUGUGUGACCCCUGUCUUAGGUCUGACGACCCCUGUGUUGACCGUUUCUGUCCCCUGCUGAGCUGAGGCUAGAUCUGCACCACUAACCACCUGAGCAAAUGUUCUGUUGCUACUGGUUUCAGAAUUCGAUGGUACUCUAGACCCGGAUGGAGUCCCAGAACGCAAUUCGGUCAGGACCAAAGUUUCGGCCUGCUGAAUUGCCCUCUGGGAGAUCCUUUUGCCAAAAUUUCUCAUCGCCCAUUUGACAGCGAUCUCGAAAGCGUGUAACCAGUCUUUUCUCUGUGUCUCUCCCCGUAAGAUCCCCAGUGUGUGCUUUAUGAUAUCCUCAUAAUGUUGCUGUAACACCAACUGUGUCGUAAACGCCCAGUUCUUUGCAUUACCCUCCAGCAAUUCUUUUGUGGACAUUGUGGGGGCAAAGGGUUUGAUCACACUUUUAAGAAGCUCUGUUAACCUUUUAAGAGUGACAGGCUGGUUAUCUUCUAUCCGUGUGUCAAUAUUACUGAGGUGAUGGACAGAUCUGAUCAGAUGAUACAUAUUCUUAAUAAUUCUCCGAAAAGUGGGAGAAGCAGGAGAGUAUUCUGUAUUUUUUUGUGAAUCAAAGUGACUUUUUUGGCCCAUUCUUUUUUUCUGGUGAACAUAUUUUUGUGCAAACUGGCCAUUCUCACGUCUCCUGUUCUUUUCUACAUUACGAGGAGAAUAUUGUGUGUUUCUGUAUCUCUGGUCAGUAAACCUGUUCUGUUCAGUGGGGUAAAAAAUCUUAUUUUGCCCAAAAGUCACUCUCUUUUGUUUGGGUUUAAAUCCCCGAUUUAAAGGGCGUCGAUCACGUGACUGACGACGGAAAGGAUUUACAGUAUUCUCCGAUCGAGUUUCAUUCUGUACUCUGUUACUGUAACCCGCGAGUGAUUCUCCGUGUCUGAUGACCUCAUAUGGGAAGUCACGAGAUCGCUCGACAAAAUAAUCGUCCCUCAUAAAUCGUCCCCGUCUGGGGAAAUCCCUGUUAUCUGUGUGAGGGAUCAGACGCGCUCGAGGGGUCGUGAAACGACCCUUGUUCUGAAAAACGAACACCAUCCUUAUUUUACUGAACGAUCAAAUCCACAACUGUGUAUUCUUUUAAUCUUUUAUUCUAUUUCUGAAAAUUAAAAAAAAUGUUUUUUUUGUCCUUUUAUAUUUUUUUAACUUUUUUUGGGAUUUUCUUGUGUUUUUUUUAACAAUAAAGAGAUAAACCAACUUUU